rnacentral:lncRNA from 1 species
GGGAAGGCUUUAAAAAGCAGAUAUGGACCAGGGUAGAGUUCGUACGCUGUAGCUUUUCAAGAACACCGAUCUCAUUAAUUAAAGAACAGCAACUAUUUAAUUCCAGUUAUAAACUAUUGUUUUCCAGUUAGUCUGGGUAGGUGUGGCCGUUUGUAGAAUAGUUAGAUUACAUUAGUCUAUUGCGUUGGUACAGUUGUCUAUAGCUUGAGCAUAUAAAAACUCCUGAGCCCAGCAGAAAAGUUACUUUCCAAUACCAGUCUCCAUCCUCCGUGCUUUGGAAGUUGCAUCGUUUUCCGGUUUUUCGUACUCAAAGAACACUGUCAAUUAUGACAGCUCUGUGACCUCUGGUAAUGAAUUAGUGUAUUAGUCACUCCUGAAACGUUCCUUAAAGUGCUGGAACUUAACAGUAGCACAGCACAUCCAGUACACAGCUGUACCGUAUUUCCAUAUUUUUCAAAGCUGAAAAUCUUAAUUGGAUAUCUUGGAUCAUUAACUUAAAACCUCAGCGGAUUUUUCUUUCAAAGCAGACAUAACUGAGGAUGCUGACCAAUGAAUGCAAAUAAACUAUGCAAUAUUUUUUAAAAUAACAAAUGUAUGUUAGUUUUUUUUAAGCUGAGGUCAACUAUGUUUUGGGGGGUAUGUGCUUUUUUAAAUUAUUGUUUUAUUUCAAUCGAUUUUUGGGGGUAACAGGUGGCGUUUGGUUACAUGAAUAAGGUUUUUAGUGGUGAUUUCUGAGAUUUUGGUGCGUCCGAGCAAUGUACACUGUAUCCAAUGUGUAGUCUUUUGUCCCUCAUUAGCCUUCCCCUUACCCCUGAGCUCCCGAGUCCCCAAAGUCCAAUGUAUCAUUCUUAUUGAAGACAGCUAAAUUUUUAACUCUGAGACUCACUGGAGAGAAUGACUGGUUGUCUUUGGGUGUUACUGAAAAGCCAAAGGAUUAAGCAAUAGGGAUAAAGUAGAGGAGGAGAUAAUUGUUCUCGUAUGUCAUAUGAAAAUGCUAACCAUAGUUUGUAAGCUAACAGAAGAAGCCUGAGGAAGUUCCCGAAUUUAUGAUAUCCUCUUCCCUUUUUUCCAAAGAAAGAUGCAGUCUAGCACCUCAGUUAAGAAUAUGGACUCUAAAGUCAGACUGCCAGGCUUCAAAUUCCAGUUCUGCGACCUCAGCAAAGUUACUUAACCAAGCUCUCAGUGCCUUGUUUUCUUCAUCUGUAAAAUGAGGAUGACGUCACAGCAUUGUUGAGAGAAUUAAUACAGGCUCCAGACUUGUGAAUGGAGAAGUGUUGAGGUGACCCCAGCUCCAGCCACCAGCUGACGACAACCAUACCGGAGAUCCUGAGAGCUGCCUAGCUGACCCCAGGCACCCCCCAGACUUAUUCAGCACUUAGAAGAAUGCCAGGCAGGCUUUCCCCACCAACCAAGAUGGAAUAACAGGGAAAAGACAUACCCUUCUAUCUUCAAUAAUUGGAAACCCAGACAAAGUUUAUGAAACGCUGGUUUUCAAGACAUAGGACAUCAGACAAUCAAGGACAGUAAACACUGAGAUGGGAAACAAACAAGGUGAGUACUGCAAUUGCCCAACAUUACUAGCUGGAAAGAGUUUCCCGACCAUGGCAGAGGGAGGAGGAUCCUUUGAGGUUCUGUGGUGUCCCUGAGUUGAGGAGACAAAGUUGAAAUUCCAGAGUGGUCAAGGCAGCUGGAGUUUGUAGAGCAGAGUACCAGAAAGAAAAUAGAUGCACAGAGAGAACCUCAGAGAUCUGCAAAAGAUCUCAGCUCUUCAGCUGUGCACCUAUCAGUACAUGCAUGUGACAAAGCACCCCAAGGCCAGGGGAAGAAUCACCUGAAAGUAUGAAGAGAAGAAUACUUGGAGCAUAUACAAACCAGGAAUAAUUUCAGUUCUCACCAGCCAAAUUGGAAGACCCCAUAGAUAACAGGCAUUAGGUAGAGCAGGGGUCCCCAACCUCCAGGGGCACUGACCAGUACUGUUCAUGGCCUGUUAGGAACUGGGCUGCACAGCAGGAGGUGAGCGGCAGGCUAGCCAGCAAACCUUCAUCUGUAUUUAUAGCUCCCAUCACUUGCAUUACUCCCCAUCACUCCCCAUCACUUGCAUUACCACCUGAGCUCCACCUCCUCUCAGAUCAGCAGCAGCAUUAGAUUCUCAUAGGAGUGUGAACCCUACUGUGAACUGCACAUGCAAGGGAUCUAGGUUGUGCACUGUUUAUGAGAAUCUAAUGCCUGAUGAUCUGAGGUGCAGCUGAGGCAGCAUAGCUAGGAGGUAGGUAUUUUGUUGCUGGGGACUCAUAUCAAAACCCUAUCAGUGAGUGGCAAGUGACAAUUAAGCUGCAUCUGGUGGCAGACUUUAUAGAGGCAAGUGAGUCAAUGUAUUUCAAUUGCACAGCUCUAUCUGGUGGCAAGUUUUAAGUCAGAAUCUGACACUUAAUUUAGUCUGUGCAUGGCCUGCCCAUUAUUUUAUUUACCACUUCUGUCUGUGCCUCUUUGCUGCACUGAACACUUGUCUCAGUCACAGUUUUGGUAAGCCCACAAGCUAACCCUAGCUAAAAUGAGUAAAAAGCAAACGACACUGGAGAGCUUCUUUGAAAAGUCAGAGAGACCCAAUGAUGAGACAGCAGAAGACUCUUAAGACUGCCAACAAAAAGAAAGCUGCACUUAAAAGAAAAUACCAGACUGGGCGUGGUGGCUCACACCUGUAAUCCUAGCACUUUGGGAGGCUGAAGCAGGUGGAUCCCUUGAGGCCAGGAGUUUGAGACCAGCCAAGCCAACAUGGUGAAACCCAUGUUUCU